ACUCUACCUGGUCCUCAUUCUCUUCAGAUCUGAACACUGAUCUUGGUGGUCAUAAAGGGAGGAUUAGCAGUAAUGAAGCUGUUCUCGUAGUGCUUAUGGUCUGCUAUAUAGUAUGUAGGCUAGUUUCCAACAACG